AGUCGAGGGGUAUAGUAGCAAUACUAGAGACCGGCGCACGGGUGCGUAACGCGUAUGCAAUCUACCUUUUGCAGAGGGAUAGCCCAGAGAAAUUUGGAUUAAUACCUCAUAGUAUAACGACUCGGCAUCGAGAUGUUAUUAAAGUCACAACGGCAAAAGAUGAGCAUGCGUCCCAUUAGUUAGUUGGUAAGGUAACGGCUCACCAAGACUACGAUGGGUAGGGGUCCUGAGAGGGAGAUCCCCCACACUGGUACUGAGACACGGACCAGACUCCUACGGGAGGCAGCAGUGAGGAAUAUUGGACAAUGGGCGCAAGCCUGAUCCAGCCAUGCCGCGUGCAGGAUGACGGUCCUAUGGAUUGUAAACUGCUUUUGCACAGGAAGAAACAACGCUACGUGUAGCGUCUUGACGGUACUGUGAGAAUAAGGAUCGGCUAACUCCGUGCCAGCAGCCGCGGUAAUACGGAGGAUCCAAGCGUUAUCCGGAAUCAUUGGGUUUAAAGGGUCCGUAGGCGGUCUUAUAAGUCAGUGGUGAAAUCUCCCCGCUCAACGGGGAAACGGCCAUUGAUACUGUAGGACUUGAAUUAUUAGGAAGUAACUAGAAUAUGUAGUGUAGCGGUGAAAUGCUUAGAGAUUACAUGGAAUACCAAUUGCGAAGGCAGGUUACUACUAAUGGAUUGACGCUGAUGGACGAAAGCGUGGGUAGCGAACAGGAUUAGAUACCCUGGUAGUCCACGCCGUAAACGAUGGAUACUAGCUGUUGGGCGCAAGUUCAGUGGCUAAGCGAAAGUGAUAAGUAUCCCACCU
rnacentral:rRNA from 1 species